rnacentral:rRNA from 1 species
AUUGAACGCUGGCGGCAGGCUUAACACAUGCAAGUCGAGCGGAGUGAUAGUGCUUGCACUAUCACUUAGCGGCGGACGGGUGAGUAAUGCUUAGGAAUCUGCCAUUUAGUGGGGGACAACAUUCCGAAAGGAAUGCUAAUACCGCAUACGUCCUACGGGAGAAAGCAGGGGAUCUUCGGACCUUGCGCUAAAUGAUGAGCCUAAGUCGGAUUAGCUAGUUGGUGGGGUAAAGGCCUACCAAGGCGACGAUCUGUAGCGGGUCGGAGAGGAUGAUCCGCCACACUGGGACUGAGACACGGCCCAGACUCCUACGGGAGGCAGCAGUGGGGAAUAUUGGACAAUGGGCGAAAGCCUGAUCCAGCAAUGCCGCGUGUGUGAAGAAGGCCUUCGGGUUGUAAAGCACUUUUGUCCGGAAAGAAGUGGCUCUGGUUAAUACCUGGGGUCGAUGACGGUACCGGAAGAAUAAGGACCGGCUAACUACGUGCCAGCCGCCGCCGUAAAAC